CUGAGUGGCUUUUCUGUUGAGGUCCUCCAUGAGAUCUUGAAUACUUUUCUGUAGUUUCAGGUUGGCUGUUUGCUUCAGCCACACAUUUGUGAUCAGCACAGAUAUCUCUGCUGGAGUUGCUGUGGUCAGAGCCACCCUCUGCCUGGGCUGCAGCAGUGGCAAGGGAUGCAUGGUUAAUGGAGUGUGCAGGUUAUUGUGUUUGUCUGCCCAGGCCUGUUGCAUAGGAUCUGGCUCCCCCAGGUACCUGAGGUCCUAAGUUGCAUUCCUAAUACUUUCCCAACACUUCUAAACUGAUAGUGUUCAACCCUGCACAUGUUCAGCACCCAAACCUCUGCAGCCACUCCUG